AAUCAGUUAGAAGAAACAGAGCCGGCAAAGUAAGUGCCAGCCGCCGCGGCUACACCGACGGGCUCAAGCUGAUAAUAGUCGGCGUUAAGCGUGAUUAAAGAAGCCCUUAAUUAGAAUUAAACUUAAGCUUAGUAGUUAUAAGCUUACUCUAGAGGAAACCCAUAAUCGAAAGUUAUUCUAAUACGCACUCUUGAAUACACGACAACUUGGGCACAAACUGAGAUUAGUAGAUACCCCACUAUU
rnacentral:rRNA from 1 species